ACCGGCAGCUCAAGUGGUGGCCAUUUUUAUUGGGCCUAAAGCGUUCGUAGCCGGUUUGAUAAGUCUCUGGUGAAAUCCCGCAGCUUAACUGUGGGACUUGCUGGAGAUACUAUUAGACUUGAGGUCGAGAGAGGUUAGGGGUACUCCCAGAGGGGGGGUGAAAUCAUAUAAGCCUGGGAGGACUAACUGAGGCGAGGGCGCCGAACCGGAACAGGCCUCACGGUGCGUCAGCAGAGUCAGUGGCGUCCACCG
rnacentral:rRNA from 1 species